CACUUUGGUGUCCUAGUGGUUAGAGCUUCUGCCUUGGAUGUGGGAGGUUGUGGGUUCAAUCCCCAACUAAGUCA